AAUUACAAGCAGCAUUCUAGUUGGUUCAUCGCUGCAAGAAGUCUAAAUAUUCUCUUUCCCACUACUUGUGCACCAACAAGAAAACAAAGGCUGACCAGCAGGUUCCACACUAAUUGGACAAUGAGAAACUGGACAUUACUAAGUCGGCUGCUGGAUGAAGUGCAGUCCCAACCUAUGGUCAUAGGGAAGACUUACUCUCCGCUUUGUUCGUGUUGAGAAUUGUGGUGUUGGGGGCCGCAGCAGAUAGGGUGUGGGUGGAAGAACAAUCAGAGUUUGUCUGCGACACUGAGAUGACAGGAUGUAGACCGAGUGGCGCAGCUCUCUAAGGCACUGCAUCUCAGUGCAAGAGGCGUCACUACAGUCCCUGGUUUGAAUCCAGGCUGAAUCACAUCCGGCCGUGAUUGGGAGUCCCAUAGGGCGGCGCACAAUGGGCCCAGCUACGUCCAGGUUUGGCUGGGGUAGGCCGUCAUUGGAAAUAAGAAUUUGUUCUUAACUGACUUGCCUAGUUAAAUAAAGGUUAAACAAAAAAGAAGACCAGUCGGCUACAACCAAGCCUUUCCAAUCUCCCAUAUCUGCUCCUGGGUCCUUCAAAUCACCCUAGUGUCACCCCUACUAGAGCUGCAGCGGUCAUGAAAUUUCGUCAGCCUGUGAUUGUCAAGCAAAUAACUGUCGGUCUCACAGUAAUUGACCGUUAAUGAACAUGAACACAUUUAGCAUCUCCUGGUUUCCACACAAGCCACACAUUUAGCAUUUCCUGGUUUCCACACAAGCCACUGAUUCUGACCUUUAGAACAUCUACAUUUAAAAAAGUCUAAAUCCAUGUAAUAUAGCCUACACCAAUAAAUCCAUUAUUUAUUUUAGACAGGUCUAAAGAAACAUGAUAUGAAGAAAAUGUCUAUUUCAGAAGAACAGAAUAGCAUACUCUGAGUUGUCCUUAUGUUAGGUCCUGAUCUGGCUAUGACAAACGGCUGUGGGCUACACUAGUUAAUUUAGCAGACAAGAUUUUCUUAGAAUUCCAUGGCAUUAUUUUAUAGUAUGAAGUACACAAUUGAACACAGGUGAAAAAAAUAGAAAGGAUAUUUUCUCCAAAUUAACAAUUAGGCUAUUUCUUCACAUUAUAAGCGUAGCAAUGCGCACAUGGUAGUAGGCUAUAAGCGUAAAUGGUCCAGUACCGGAAAACACCAUUAUCAAAGUGACCCAAAUGCAAUUAUGCAUAUAAAGCUUUUAUUAUAAAGGUGCAUUUUUAGGGUAAAAAUGAUCUUCCCCAAACUUGAAACUCACGCACUGCUUCUGUACAGUUGAAGUCGGAAGUUUACGUACACCUUAGCCAAAUACAUUUAAAUUCAGUUUUUCACAAUUCCUGACAUUUAAUUCUCGUAAAAAUUCCCUGUUUUAGGUCAGUUAGGAUCACCACCUUAUUUUAAGAAUGUGAAAUGUCAGAAUAAUAGUAGAGAGAAUGAUUUAUUUCAGCUUUUAUUUCGUUCAUCACAUUGCCAGUUGGUCAGAAGUUUACAUACACUCAAUUAGUAUUUGGUAGUAUUGCCUUUAAAUUGUUUAACUUGGGUCAAACAUUUUGGGUAGCCUUCCACAAGCUUCCCACAAUAAGUUGGGUGAAUUUUGGCCCAUUCCUCCUGACAGAGCUGGUAUAACUGAGUCAGGUUUGUAGGCAUCCUUGCUUGCACACGCUUUUUCAGUUCUACCCACAUUUUUUCUAUGGGAUUGAGGUCAGGGCUUUGUGAUGGCCACUCCAAUACCUUGACUUUGUUGUCCUUAAGCCAUUUCGUCACAUCUUUGGAAGUAUGCUUGGGGUCAUUGUCCAUUCGGAAGACCUAUUUGCGACCAAGCUUUAAAUUCCUGACUGAUGUCUUGAGAUGUUGCUUCAAUAUAUCCACAUAAUUUCCCAUCCUCAUGAUGCCAUCUAUUUUGUGAAGUGCAGCAGUCCCUCCUGCAGCAAAGCACCCCACCAACAUGAUGCUGCCAACCCCGUGCUUCACAGUUGGGAUGGUGUUCUUCGGCUUGCAAGCAUCCACCUUUUUCCUCCAAACAUAACGAUGGUCAAUAUGGCCAAACAGUUCUAUUUUUGUUUCAUCAGACCAGAGGAGAUUUCUCCAAAAAGUACCAUCUUUGUCCCCAUGUGCAGUUGCAAACCGUAGUCUGGCUUUUUAAUGGCGAUUUUGGAGCAGUGGCUUCUUCCUUGCUGAGCGGCCUUUCAGGUUAUGUCGAUAUAGGACUUGUUUUUACUGUGGAUAUAGAUACUUUUGUACCUGUUUCCUCCAGCAUCUUCACAAGGUCCUUUGCUGUUGUUCUGGGAUGGAUUUGCAUUUUCGCACCAAAGUGCGUUCAUCUCUAGGAGACUGAACGCAUCUCCUUCCUGAGUGGUAUGAAGGCUGCUUGGUCCCAUGGUGUUUAUACUUGUGUACUAUUGAUUGUACAGAUGAACGUGGUACCUUCAGGCUUUUGGAAAUUGCUCUCAAGUAUGAACCAGACUUGUGGAGGUCGACAAUUUUUUUCCUGAGGUCUUGGCUGAUUUCUUUUGAUUUUCCCAUGAUGUCAAGCAAAGAUGCACUGUGUUUGAAGGUAGGCCUUGAAAUACAUCCACAGGUACACCUCCAAUUGACUCAAAUGAGUCAAAUGAGUCAAUUAGCCUAUCAGAAGCUUCUAAAGCCAUGACAUAAUUUUCUGGAAUGUUCUAAGCUGUUUAAAGGCACAGUCAACUUAGUGUAUGUAAACUUCUGACCCACUGGAAUUGUGAUACAGUGAAUUGUAAGUGAAAUAAUCUGUCUGUAAACAAUUGUUGGAAAAAUGACUUGUGUCAUGCACAAAGUAGAUGUCCUAACCGACUUGCCAAAACUAUAGUUUGUUAACAAGAAAUUUGUGGAGUGGUUGGAAAACAAGUUUUAAUGACUCCAACCUAAGUGUACUCUAUGUAAACUUCCGACUUCAACUGUAUGCCAGUUAUGCUCUACACCCCUCAUAAAGCGGAUUAAUGUGCUUAAUUUUAAGAAGUUAUUUGGUCACUUUAGUUGUGAUACAAACCUUAUCAAAACAUAUAGGCCUAUGGGCUAGGCUACAUUAAGUGAGCGACUAUUAUUAGGAAAAGUCGCAAAAAGAGGCAUUUUUCAUUAUGCUGGGCAUCAUUCACAAGUGAUAAUAUAUUAUUCACAAGUGAUAGGCUAAUAUUGUCACCCAUCAGACUGUCCUUGAUUUAAUCUUGUCUUUACAAAUACAAAAUGUUAUUUGUGAUUUUUUUUAAAUUUAGAAUAGACCAUCAUCAUGCACCUUUAUCAAAACAUGGAGAGCAGGAAAAUAUACAAAUACAGUACAUGUAAUCUAUUCACUUAAAUAACAAGGACACUUCCCGUGGUUCAUUUUCAUGCCAGCCAGGUAGGCUAUACUCCUGUUGUAAAUAUAAGCAGUGUGCAUAAUAUUAGGAAAGUUGAGAAAUAAAUAUAGUAGGCCUAGCCUAUAGAAAGCUGAUGGGAUCCUCUUUUUAGUAGAGGCCAUCACUCUGUUUCUUGAGCAAUUGUAUAGCCUAUAGAAAUGUUGCGCAACAUGAGCUCACGGGCUCUCAUGAAGUGAUAGAUUUUCGAUCACAUUUGCAUUAAUGUCAGAGUGAUAAGAGGGACAAUAGAGUGCUGAGUACAACAGAGUGCCUAAUUACCAUGACUAAACGGUCAUAUGGAAUUUGACUGCCUUCAUGACUCAUGUCGCGGUAAUACGGUCACCGCGACAACCCUAAUCCCUACUCUCGUAUACCUCGGCUACAUUCUCCACACCGUUCAAAAAAAUCUAAGUGAUACAAUGCCUUCAGCAACAAUCAUUGGAUGAACAAAUUAUUAAGUCCCCCGAAUACCCUGAUGAUAAAUAGAAUGUCAAAUUAAUGGUCACUUGCUGGUGUUCUACUUGGUUAACGUGCUUUUUAUAAUCCAUCUUCAUCAACAUCAUGUUCGCCUUAGCAUGUUUGUCUCUCUUGCCUAAUGUGGUGGAGAUUUUUAGCAAAAGACCAUGGGACAGAAUUCACUCACCCAAGAAAACACUCAAGAUGUAUUCAAUGCAAAAAUGUAUUGAAGGAGAAUGCCAUUGAGGUAGCGACUCAAACCUCAAUAUUUAGUCUGGCCAUAGUCCCAGAAUACAGUAUUUACAUUGCACUUUUUUAUAUAAAUGUUGAUAUACCCACUUAAUGCUGAUAUACCAACUGUUCUUACUUCUUAUGAUAAUACAUUCUGUAUAGAGGCUACUGUUUCCUGCCAUUUCGCAGUUACAUUUCUGCCAAAAAAAGAGCUGUCAAACUGAGCAAUGUCAGAUGGGUGUGUCCAAAUUAAAGUAUUUUAAACAAGCCAAGCUCUCUGAAUUGUGCAUAUGUACAACCAUGUAGAAUUACACAUAGUAACAAUAUUUAAAUCAAAUAAAAUACAAUUUUAUUAUUUACAUGCUUCGUAACAGCAGGUGUCCAAUGGUGUUGUAACGGCUGUCUAAUGCCUCCUCCUCGGAUGAGGAGGAGGAGUAAGGGUUGGACCAAAACGCAGCGUUGUAUGCAGACAUAAUGGAUAUUUAUUAAAGAAAGACAAAACACAAAAACUCUUACACAAACUACAAAACAACAAACGACGUAGACAGACCUGAACUUGAGCACUUACAUAAUGACACGAAGAACGCACGAACAGGAAAGACUAGCCAAACGAACGAACAGACGAAACAGUCCCGUGUGGUGCAACAGACACAGACACAGGAACAAUCACCCACAAACAAACAGUGAGAACAGCCUACCUUAAUAUGGUUCUCAAUCAGAGGAAAUGUCAAACACCUGCCUCUAAUUGAGAACCAUAUCAGGCAACACAUUUAACCCAACAUAGAAACACAUAACAUAGAAUGCCCACACCAACUCACGCCCUGACCAACUAAACACAUACAAAAACAAGGAAAACAGGUCAGGAACGUGACAGGUGUGUAUUCGUGAAUGCUUCGCAACCCAAAAUAAAAAUAAAUAAAAGAAAAUACAUAAUUUUAUCUUUCGCCUCUUUGUAUUUUCAUAAUUUUCCAUCAUUGCGCAAGAGGUUGAAUGUAUCUCACCGUAGAAAGCAUCCGAGUGAACGAAACAGCACCCCUCUAUCUGAAUGUGUAGGCUGUCUAUCUGAUGCGGUCUGGUCAUAAAGAGUAUGACACUGUUGCCGCCCAUAACAUUGAAUGCAAGGGAAGCCAGGGAGCACUUGGCCUCCCUUGAUAAAAAAGUAUAAAAUAAAAGCCAAUCUGUCAAACCCUGA